rnacentral:rRNA from 1 species
UACGGAGGGGGCUAGCGUUGUUCGGAAUUACUGGGCGUAAAGCGCACGUAGGCGGCGAUCCAAGUCAGAGGUGAAAGCCCGGGGCUCAACCCCGGAACUGCCUUUGAAACUAGAUUGCUAGAAUCCUGGAGAGGUGAGUGGAAUUCCGAGUGUAGAGGUGAAAUUCGUAGAUAUUCGGAAGAACACCAGUGGCGAAGGCGACUCACUGGACAGGUAUUGACGCUGAGGUGCGAAAGCGUGGGGAGCAAACGGG